UCUUCAGGUACAAUAAUUCUUUCCUGCUUCUCCUUUUAAGGGGCAAGACAGAACAUGACAACAGGUGUAAUUAGCAUCUUAGUAUAAUCAGAUAUGCAACACCCUGGUUGCUCCUAUUUCUC
rnacentral:snoRNA from 14 species